rnacentral:misc_RNA from 1 species
GUAGGUGAACCUGCGGAAGGAUCGUUCGUGUAAUUGUUUGGCAAAGAGAGGCAACUCUCCUAGCUAUAUUACAUCCUUUAACACUGUGAACUUUAAAAAAACAUAGGCUGAUCCAGCAGCGUUGGCUUGAGCAAUCAAGCCAACCACAAGCGGACGCCUGGGGCUUUGCUAACUAAAACAAUAUCAUUAUUGCCUAAAAAUUAUUAAAUUAUUACAACCUUUAACAAUGGAUCUCUUGGCUCCU